rnacentral:rRNA from 1 species
AACGAACGCUGGCGGCAUGCCUAACACAUGCAAGUCGAACGAGACCUUCGGGUCUAGUGGCGCACGGGUGCGUAACGCGUGGGAACCUGCCCUUAGGUUCGGAAUAACUCCCCGAAAGGGGUGCUAAUACCGGAUAAUGUCUUCGGACCAAAGAUUUAUCGCCUUUGGAUGGGCCCGCGUUGGAUUAGCUAGUUGGUAGGGUAAAAGCCUACCAAGGCGACGAUCCAUAGCUAGUCUGAGAGGAUGAUCAGCCACAUUGGGACUGAGACACGGCCCAGACUCCUACUGGAGGCAGGGGUGGCGCAUAUUGGACAAUGGGCGAAAGCCUUAUCCAGCAAUACCGCGUGAGUGAUGAAGGCCUUAGGGUUGUAAAGCCCUUUUACCCGGGAUGAUAAUGACAGUACCGGGAGAAUAAGCUCCGGCUAACUCCGUG